AUGGCGCGCUUCCUCGUCGCCCUCCUCGCCACCACCCUGGUCGCGGUUCAGGCUGGAGGGCAGCUGGGCCACGCGGCGCCGGCGACGGCGGAGGUGUUCUGGCGCGCCGUGCUGCCACACUCGCCAUUGCCCGACGCCGUUCUCCGCCUUCUCAAACAACCCGCAGCAGGUGUUGAACUGCUCACAGAAGCCACCAGCUUCGUGAGGGAUGCCGAGGACAGGCCCCCCUUCGACUACCGUGAUUACAGCCGCUCGCCGCCCGAUGAUGAACCGAGCAAGAGCACCGGCGCCGCCUCCGGGGCGCGGGACUUCGACUACGACGACUACAGCGGGGGCGACAAGCUCCGUGGCGCCGCCUCCGGGGCGCGGGACUUCGACUACGACGACUACAGCGGGGCCGACAAGCUCCGUGGCGCCACCGAUGAAUACAAGGCGCCGAGCAGCAGCCUCGCUGGAAACGGGGCGUCCAUGGCUAGGGGCGGCAAGGCGGAGACGACGACGGUGUUCUUUCACGAGGAGGCGGUGCGCGUCGGCAAGAGGCUCCCAUUCCGCUUCCCGCCGGCGACUCCCGCCGCGCUCGGUUUCCUGCCGCGCCAGGUCGCCGACUCCGUCCCGUUCACGACGGCCGCGCUGCCUGGCGUCCUCGCGACGUUCGGCGUCGCGUCCGACUCCGCCACGGUGGCCAGCAUGGAGGCGACGCUGCGCGCCUGCGAGUCGCCGACCAUCGCCGGGGAGUCCAAGUUCUGCGCGACCUCGCUGGAGGCCCUGGUGGAGCGCGCCAUGGAAGUGCUGGGGACCCGCGACAUCAGGCCGGUGACGUCGACGCUGCCCCGCGCCGGCGCCCCGCUGCAGACGUACACCGUCCGCUCCGUGCGGCCGGUGGAGGGGGGGCCUGUCUUCGUGGCGUGCCACGACGAGGCCUACCCGUACACCGUGUACCGGUGCCACACCACUGGCCCGUCCAGGGCGUACAUGGUGGACAUGGAGGGCGCGCGCGGCGGCGACGCGGUGACCAUCGCCACCGUGUGCCACACCGACACGUCCCUGUGGAACCCGGAGCACGUCUCCUUCAAGCUCCUGGGCACCAAGCCUGGCGGCACGCCGGUCUGCCACCUCAUGCCGUACGGGCACAUAAUCUGGGCCAAGAACGUGAAUCGCUCGCCGGCGUGA
rnacentral:rRNA from 1 species